AUGCGAGUCGAGAGGGUUCGGCCCUCGGCAUACGGCUCAGUAACACGUGGAUAAUCUGCCCUGAGAUGGGGGAUAAUCUCGAGAAAUUGAGGAUAAUACCCCAUAGACCAGAUGUUCUGGAAGGCCUUCUGGUUGAAAGCUCCGGCGUCUCAGGAUGAGUCUGCGGCCUAUCAGGUUGUAGUGAGUGUAACGGACUCACUAGCCGACGACGGGUACGGGCAGUGGGAGCUGUCGCCCGGAGAUGGACUCUGAGACACGAGUCCAGGCCCUACGGGGCGCAGCAGGCGCGAAAACUUCGCAAUGCGGGAAACCGCGACGAGGGAACUCCAAGUGCCUUGCAAUUUGUAAGGCUGUUUCCAUGUCUAAAUUGCAUGGAGAGUAAGGGCUGGGUAAGACUGGUGCCAGCCGCCGCCGUAAUACCAGCAGCUCAAGUGGUGAUCCUUAUUAUUGGGCCUAAAGCGUCCGUAGCCUGUCUGGUAAAUCCUUGGGUAAAUCGUACCGCUUAACGGUACGAAUUCUGGGGAGACUGCCAGACUUGGGACUGGGAGAGGUCGGAGGUACUCCGGGGGUAGGGGUGAAAUCCUGUAAUCCUUGGGGGACCACCAGUGGCGAAGGCGUCCGACUAGAACGGAUCCGACGGUGAGGGACGAAGCCCUGGGGCACAAACCGGAUUAGAUACCCGGGUAGUCCAGGGUGUAAACGCUGCGAGCUUGGUGUUGGAGGUCCUACGAGGGCGUCCAGUGCCGGAGAGAAGUUGUUAAGCUCGCCGCCUGGGGAGUACGAUCGCAAGAUUGAAACUUAA
rnacentral:rRNA from 1 species